rnacentral:tRNA from 1 species
GUUUCUAUAGUUGAAUAACAAYGGUGAUUUUUCAUGUCAUUGGUCWUA